rnacentral:rRNA from 1 species
CAGCAGUGAGGAAUAUUGGACAAUGGGAGCAAUCCUGAUCCAGCCAUGCCGCGUGCAGGAAGACUGCCCUAUGGGUUGUAAACUGCUUUUAUACAGGAAGAAAAAGGUGUACGUGUACACUGUUGACGGUACUGUAAGAAUAAGGAUCGGCUAACUCCGUGCCAGCAGCCGCGGUAAUACGGAGGAUCCAAGCGUUAUCCGGAAUCAUUGGGUUUAAAGGGUCCGUAGGCGGGACGAUAAGUCAGUGGUGAAAGUCUGCGGCUCAACUGUAGAAUUGCCAUUGAUACUGUUGUUCUUGAGUGCUUGUGAAGUGGUUAGAAUGAGUAGUGUAGCGGUGAAAUGCAUAGAUAUUACUCAGAAUACCGAUUGCGAAGGCAGAUCACUAACAAUUCACUGACGCUGAUGGACGAAAGCGUAGGUAGCGAACAGGAUUAGAUACCCUGGUAGUCUACGCCGUAAACGAUGGUUACUAGCUGUUCGGACUAAUUGAGGUCUGAGUGGCAAGCGAAAGUGAUAAGUACCCCUGGCUCUCAGCGG